rnacentral:misc_RNA from 1 species
AACCUUAUGGACCUGCGGGCGUAUACCUGCGGAAGGAUCAUUACCUAGAGUUGUAGGCUUUGCCUGCUAUCUCUUACCCAUGUCUUUUGAGUACCUUACGUUUCCUCGGUGGGUUCGCCCGCCGGUUGGACAAAACUUAAACCCUUUGUAGUUGCAAUCAGCGUCUGAAAAAACUUAAUAGUUACAACUUUCAGCAAUGGAUCU